rnacentral:rRNA from 1 species
CAUGUAUAAGUACAAGCCUUAACAAGGUGAAACCGCGAACGGCUCAUUAGAACAGCUAUAAUUUACUCGAUCUUGAACCCACUACAAGGAUAACUGUGGUAAUUCUAGAGCUAAUACUUGCACUAAAGCUGUCCCCCCAGGACAGUGCAUUUAUUGGAGCAAAACCAGGCGGCUUCGGCCGUUCUUGCUGACUCAGAAUAACUAAGCUGACCGCAUGGGCUUGUCCCGGCGGCGUGUCGUUCAAGUGUCUGCCUUAUCAACUUUCGAUGGUAGUGUACGUGACUACCAUGGUUGUGACGGGUAACGGAGGAUAAGGGUUCGACUCCGGAGAAGGCGCCUGAGAAAUGGCGACUACGUCUAAGGAUGGCAGCAGGCGCGCAAAUUACCCACUCUCGGUUCGAGGAGGUAGUGACGAAAAAUAACAAGGCCGUUCUCUACGAGGCCGGCCAUUGGAAUGGGUACAAUCCAAACCCUUUAACGAGUAUCAAUGAGAGGGCAAGUCUGGUGCCAGCAGCCGCGGUAAUUCCAGCUCUCAAAAUGCAUAGAACCAUUGCUGCGGUUAAAAAGCUCGUAGUUGGAUCUGUGCCGGCUCCGUGGUCCACCCUAACGGGCGGUACUGCGCGAGUCGGCUUUGGGCCGGUCUUCGGCCGGUGGCCUUCAUUGGUUCGCCGUCCGUGGCUGGCUGGUUUACUUUGAGCAAAUCAGAGUGCUCAGCACAGGCGUCUUGCCGGAAUGUUCGUGCAUGGAAUAAUAGAACAGGAUCACGGUCCUCUUUUAUUGGUUUUGUGGACUGAGAUAAUGGUUAACAGAGACGAACGGGGGCAUUCGUAUUGCUGCGUGAGAGGUGAAAUUCUUGGACCGCAGCAGGACGGACUACAGC